GGUUAACGCUGGCGGCGUGCCUAACACAUGCAAGUCGAACGGUUCUAAGCGCGAGCUUAGGAUAGUGGCGAACGGGUGAGUAAAAGGUAGGAAUCUACCCCUUGGACGGAGAUAGCUACUGGAAACGGUAGGUAAACUUCGAUAAGCCCGAGAGGGGAAAGUGGUGAGACAGCCGAGGGAUGAGCCUACUCUCCAUCAGGUAGUUGGUGAGAUAAAAGCUUACCAAGCCGAUGACGGAUAACCGGUGUGAGAGCAUGAACGGUCACAAGGGCACUGAGAGACGGGCCCUACUCCUACGGGAGGCAGCAGUGGGGAAUCUUGGACAAUGGGCGAAAGCCUGAUCCAGCGACGCCGCGUGGAGGAAGAAGUCCUUCGGGAUGUAAAGCCCUGUCUUAUGGGAAGAAGUCAGUGACGGUACCAUAGGAGGAAGCCACGGCUAACUACGUG
rnacentral:rRNA from 1 species